rnacentral:rRNA from 1 species
GAUGAACGCUGGCGGCGUGCCUAAUACAUGCAAGUCGAGCGAACGGACGAGAAGCUUGCUUUUCUGAUGUUAGCGGCGGACGGGUGAGUAACACGUGGAUAACCUACCUAUAAGACUGGGAUAACUUCGGGAAACCGGAGCUAAUACCGGAUAAUAUUUUGAAGCGCAUGGGUCAAAAGUGAAAGACGGUCUUGGUGGCACUUAUAGAUGGAUCCGCGCUGCAUUAGCUAGUUGGUAAGGUAACGGCUUACCAAGGCAACGAGGCAUAGCCGACCUGAGGGGGGGACCGGCCACAGUGGGACUGAGAGACGGCCCAGACGCCUACGGGAGGCAGCAGUGGGGAAUAUUGCACAAUGGGCGGAAGCCUGAUGCAGCAUCGCCACGUUCGGGAUGACGGCCUUCGGGUUGUAAACCGCUUUCGCCUGUGACGAAGCGUGAGUGACGGUAAUGGAUAAAGAAGCACCGGCUAACUACGUG